GAUGAAGAACGUAGCAAAAUGCGAUAAGUAAUGUGAAUUGCAGAAUUCAGUGAAUCAUCGAAUCUUUGAACGCACAUUGCGCCCGCCAGUAUUCUGGCGGGCAUGCCUGUUCGAGCGUCAUUUCAACCAUCAAGCCCCAGGCUUGUGUUGGGGACCUGCGGCUGCCGCAGGCCCUGAAAACCAGUGGCGGGCUCGCUAGUCACACCGAGCGUAGUAGCAUACACAUCGCUCAGGGCGUGCUGCGGGUUCCGGCCGUUAAACCCCUUUUUUACCCAAGGUUGACCUCGGAUCAGGUAGGAAGACCCGCUGAACUUAAGCAUACAAUAAGCGGAGGA
rnacentral:misc_RNA from 1 species